rnacentral:lncRNA from 1 species
CUAACAUGAACCCUGAUGGAAGGGAAUCAAGGCAAAAAGAAGGCAAGAAAGAAAUCAGAAGCAAUGAUGACCUGCUUUGAACUGGAAGGAAAAUGGCUGGGGGAGGAUUUGUACCAUCUAUGAGGUGCACAUCAUGGUAGAAAAAACACAGCUUUAAAACCAGACAGGCUGAGUUUGAACCUUGAACCUGCUUCUUACUAGCCAACAACCUUGAGCAAGACGCUCGCUGCGCCGCCGUGUCCACCUCUGUAAAAUGGGGAUAAUGAAAACAGCACCGCCCUCCUGGGGCUGUUGUGAAGACGCAGUAAGAAAACGCAUCGAAGUUCUUGGCACACAGCAGCUGCGCCUGAGCCCUAGUUCCUCCCUCAGAGAAAGGAAGGCUUCUUGCAGGAGAUGGGGUUUGUUCUGAGUGUUGAAGGAUGGAUAAUAAUAGUAAUCAUACUUCUAUUUUUGUUGACACCAGGCGCUAUGCUAAGCACUUUGAAUACAUUGUUUCAUUUAAUCCCCCAGCAACUCUAUGAGGCAGGUUUUUUUUUUUUCCCUGUCCCUGUUUCACGGAAUAAGCUGGUGAAGUUCAGAAAGGCUAGGCAAUUUACCCCAAGUCACACAGCCAAAUGGAGGAGAAAAUUCAGAACUCUUCUGCUAUCGCUUGGACUGGGGGUGGGACUGGGAGUGGAGGACACAGCAAAAGUGACAGCAGGCAAGACCAAGAGCAGGGCCUAAACCAGGCGUGAGCCAGGACCAGCAAGGGACUGGGUGUGGGUCUCAGGGAAAUUCUGAGGCCAUGGCAAGCCCGUCUCUCCUUAGACUCCGCCUUCCUGCUUCCUGCGAGCCCUCGGACUCUGGCCGGCCUUGCUGUUAAACCUCGGUGGGGAGGGGGAGAAGGGGGUUCACGUGUUCAUCUCUGCAGCAGUGGGACCCCCAGUGCUGCCCACCCCCUUCCCACACAGGUGCCCUGUAAUCCAGAUAAUCCCUGCAGCUCCGUCCUGUCCCUUGUAUGGCAAAAAUGACCUCCUUGGUUUCUUGCCGCCUAGUGUUAU